rnacentral:rRNA from 1 species
GACAGAGGCCCAAGCGUUAGGCGGAAUCACUGGGCUUAAAGCGUGUGUAGGCGGAUCGUUAAGUGUCUUGUGAAAUCCCACGGCUCACCCGUGGAACGGCUGGGCAUACUGGCGAUCUUGGGCCAACUAGGGGCAGUCGGAACAAGCGGUGGAGCGGUGAAAUGCGUAGAUAUCGCUUGGAACGCCGAAGGUGAAAACAGACUGCUGGGGUUGCGCCGACGCUGAGACACGAAAGCCAGGGGAGCAAACGGGAUAUGAGACCCGUACGUCAGACCAAGUCCA